GCUGGGUACAGUGGCACACACCUGUAAUCCCAGCCACGUGGGAGGCUGAGACAGGAGGAUCUCAGUACAAAGUCAGCCUGAGCAAAAGCAAAGCUCUAAGCAAUUCAGUGAGACCCUGUCUCUA
rnacentral:sRNA from 1 species